AGGGGAAGCCGGUCCAAGUCCGGCGCUGACCCGCAACCGUAGGCCCCCCGCGAGGGUGGCGAGCCGGAAUGCCU
rnacentral:ncRNA from 2 species